GGAGGGUGCAAGCGUUAAUCGGAAUGACUGGGCGUAAAGGGCGUGUAGGUGGAUAGAUAAGUUAGAUGUGAAAGACCCGGGCUUAACCUGGGUAUGUCAUUUGAGACUGUCUGUCUAGAGUAUGAGAGAGGGAAGUGGAAUUUCCGGUGUAGCAGUGAAAUGCGUAGAGAUCGGAAGGAACACCAGUGGCGAAGGCGACUUCCUGGCUCAAUACUGACACUGAGGCGCGAAAGCGUGGGGGGAGCAAACAGGAUUAGAUACCCUGGUAGUCCACGCUGUAAACGAUGAGUACUAGCCGUUGGUGGGCUUAAGCCCGUCAGUGGCGCAACUAACGCAAGAAGUACUCCGCCUGGGACUACGGCCGCAAGGCUA
rnacentral:rRNA from 1 species